GAGCCUGAGAAACGGCUACCACAUCCAAGGAUGGCAGCAGGCGCGCAAAUUACCCAAUCCCGACACGGGGAGGUAGUGACAAUAAAUAACAAUACGGGGUUCUUUAGGAUCUCGUAAUUGGAAUGAGUACAAUUUAAAUCUCUUAACGAGGAACAAUUGGAGGGCAAGUCUGGUGCCAGCAGCCGCGGUAAUUCCAGCUCCAAUAGCGUAUANNNAAGUUGUUGCAGUUAAAAAGCUCGUAGUUGAAUUUCGGGGUUAGUAGGUUGGUCAUGCCUCUGGUAUGUACUGGUCUCACUGAUUCCUCCUUCCUUGUGAACCGUAAUGCCAUUAAUUUGGUGUUGCGGGGAAUUUGGACUGUUACUUUGAAAAAAUUAGAGUGUUUAAAGCAAGCUAACGCUUGAAUACAUUGGCAUGGAAUAAUGAAAUAGGACGUUCGAUCUUAUUUUGUUGGUUUCUAGGAUUGACGUAAUGAUUAAUAGGGAUAGUUGGAGGCAUUAGUAUUCAAUUGUCAGAGGUGAAAUUCUUGGAUUUAUUGAAGACUAACUACUGCGAAAGCAUUUGCCAAGGAUGUUUUCAUUAAUCAAGAACGAAAGUUAGGGGAUCGAAGACGAUCAGAUACCGUCGUAGUCUUAACCAUAAACUAUGCCGACUAGGGAUCGGAUGAUGUUAAUUUUUUAAUGACUCAUUCGGCGCCUUACG
rnacentral:rRNA from 1 species